rnacentral:rRNA from 1 species
CGAUGGGUGCUACGACGCCAUCUGGUGGAUGGCUUGGCUUGGGUGACGACGAAGGGCGUGGCAAGCUGCGAUAUGCCCCGGGGAGAUGCAAGCAGUCUUCGAUCCGGGGACGCCCGAAUGGGACUUCCCUCCCAAGGGAAACCUUGGGAAGCCGGGCCGCAAGGUCCGGCGGUGAACCUCCCGAAGGGAAGCAUCUGAGUAGGGAGAGGAAAAGAAAUCAAAUGAGAUCCCCUGAGUAGGGGCGACCGAAACGGGGAGAGCCCAAACCGAAUCCCGUGCGGCAACGCAUGGGAGAUGUAGUGUGCCCGGCGGCGUUAGCUGGCCUGAUCCUUUAGCUGAAGUGGCCUGGAAGGGCCCGGAAUAGAUGGUGAAACCCCAGUAGGCGAAAGGGGAGAGGGUCGGUGCCGCCGGGAAGAGUACCUGGCCUUGGCAGUGGCUAGGGAAGAUGGGGGAAAGCAGCCUCCAAGGCUAAACACAACCCAAGACCGAUAGCGCAAUAGUACCGUGAGGGAAAGCUGAAAAGAACCCCGGAAGGGGGGUGAAAAGAGCCUGAAACCAGAUGGUUACAGACGUGUGCCGCCUGGAAGGACUCAGAAUCCUGUUGCCGGUCCGCAAGGGCCGGCUGCUGGACGAGGGUCCGGGGUGGCACGGUCCGUCUAGAAAUCACCCGAGGUGCAUAAAUAUGGGCGUCGUGUGAGAGCUUGUGAUCCUGAACGAGACUUCAGCUUACAUUCUAGGAUUCGUCUUGGGAGAUGGACACAUCUCCAAGGCCGUCCGACUCUUCAAUUACGGUGAUUGGUCCGUCUUCCGGCUCAAUGGCCGGGGACAACUGAAGCUCGUCUCAAGACACUUGUUUCUCAGACAUCCACGUCUGUUGCGUGCCCUCGGUGACUAGAAACACGGGCCGGGGAGUUCAUCUUCAUGGCGAGCUUAAGGGUUAGAAGCCCGAAGGCGGAGGGAAACCGAAACCUCGCAGCGCCGCAAGGCGCGAGGAGGGGGGUCUUAAUAGGGCUCCAUAGUCAUGUGGAUGAGACUAGAAACCGAGCGAUCGUGUCCUGAGCAGGAUGAAGCCGGGCGAAAGCCUGGUCGAGGUCCGAAAGGGUGCUGACGUGCAACUCGCUCCCCAGACUCGGGAUAAGGGGCCA